ensembl:lncRNA
CCACACUGCUACAGGCACUUCCAACUAUUAUGUAACUAUAACUACCAGACUAGCUCUUUAUUUUCUCUUAGUUUAUUUUUUUAUAUGUUUGUUUUUUGACAGAUAAUGGUAGUUAAAUGGAACAAACUUUUGCACACCUAAAAUAAUGUGAUAGAGAGCUAUGAUAGAGGGAGGGUAAGGGAACUAUGAUAGAGGGAGGGUAAGGGAACUAUGAUAGAGGGAGGGUAAGGGAACUAUGAUAGAGGGAGGGUAAGGGAACUAUGAUAGAGGGAGGGUAAGGGAACUAUGAUAGAGGGAGGGUAAGGGAACUAUGAUAGAGGGAGGGUAAGGGAACUCAAGUGUACUUUGGGAAGUGUAUUUGCUGAAGGGUACUUAAAUGGUAAAUGUUUAGUUGAGGCCUCAGGUUAACAUGAUUGAUUCUUAGUUACUGAAUCUUCCUUUGGACCUUUGUCCAGCUCUGACCCUGAUGUUACUCAGAUGUGAAUGUUGAAACACUAUAUUAUAAAUAUACUUUAUAUAUGGUAUCUACUAUAUGUACUAGAGAUAUAUUUUAGGCUAUGCCGUGAUAUAUUUUAUUAAUGGGAAUAGUCGCUCAUCCUCCAGUUAUAACAUAGUUAUAAAAAAGUUAUAAGUAACACAUUUCAUUUCUCUGAUGUAGACUUAACUUUAAAUAUACUGACGUGUCUUCAAAUUUUACGGUUUUAUUAUUUACCUACUGAACAUGUCAUAAUAUAUACAAAGCAUGUCUAUGUACACACACAAUAUGUACAAAGAUAUAAUACAUUAUAACUAAUCCCUAUUUGGAGACUAGUGGCCGGUGCAGAACGAGAUUGAGACAGAACUGAUACAUUAUUGUUGUAUCUAAACCAAAGGUCGGCACUUAGACAAAGAUCUCUGUCUUUAACAUUGUCAUUUCAUUUAUUUCAAUGUAUCUGUUUGUUUUGUUAUUGUCGUUUGUGUUGUGGACUUGGGAGAAUGUAGCCAUCUGUAGCGCAUGAGUCCGCUAUGGAAAUUAACCUUCCCUCCUGACCCUUGACCUCUGACCUGACAGACCGGAAACAGGAAGUGGAUACGCCCACGAACGGACACUUUAUUUACAAAAUGAAGUACGGAAGAUACAUGAUUAAAUGCCGCUGUUGAACUCUGUAGUAAGUCAUAGGCUCGAUCCCAAAUGCCACCAUAUUCCCUACAUAGUACACACCACUUUUGGCCAGAGCCCGACAUGGGGAAUAGUGUGUGAUUUCAGAUUUGUGCCAUAUACAGUUGAAGGUGGAAGUUUACAUACACCUUAUCCAACUGCAUUUAAACUCAGUUUUUCACAAUUCCUGACAUUUAAUCCUAGGAAAAAUUCCUUGUUUUAGGUCAGCUAGGAUCACCACUUUAUUUUAAGAAUGUGAAAUGUCAGAAUAAUAGUAGAGAGAAUUAUUUAUUUCAGCUUUUAUUUCUUUCAUCACAUUCCCAAUGGGUCAGAAGUUUACAUACGCUCAAUUAGUAUUUGGGAGCAUUGCCUUUAAAUUGUUUAACUUGGGUCAAAUGUUUCGGGUAGCCUUCCAUAAGCUUCCCACAACAAGUUGUGUGAAUUUUGGCCCAUUCCUCCUGACAGAGCUUGUGUAACUGAGUCAGGUUUGUAGGCCUCCUUGCUCAGACACUUUCAGUUCUGCCCACAAAUUUCUAUAGGAUUGAGGUCAGGGCUUUGUGAUGGACACUCCAAUACCUUGACUUUGUUGUCCUUAAGCAAUUUUGCCACAACUUUGGAAGUAUGCUUGGGGUCAUUGUCCAUUUGGAAGACCCAUUUUUGACCAAGCUUUAACUGAUGUCUUGAGAUGUUGCUUCAAUAUAUCCACAUAAUUUUCCUACCACAUGAUGCCAUCUAUUUUGUGAAGUGCAUCAGUCCCUCCUGCAGCAAAGCACCCCCACAACAGGAUGCUGCCACCCCCAUGCUUCAUGGUUGGGAUGGUGUUCUUCGGCUUGCAAGCCUCCCCCUUUUUCCUCCAAACAUAAUGAUGGUCAUUAUGGCCAAACAGUUCUAUUUUUGUUUCAUCAGUCGAGAGGACAUUUGUCGAUAUAGGACUCGUUUUAUUGUGGAUAUAGAUACUUUUGUACCUGUUUCCUCCAGCAUCUUCACAAGGUCCUUUGCUGUUGUUCUGGGAUUGAUUUGCACUUUUCGCACCAAAGUACGUUCAUCUCUCUUCCUGAGAGGUAUGUCAGCUGCAUGGUCCCAUGGGGUUUAUACUUGCGUACUUUUGUUUGUGCAGAUGAACGUGGUACCUUCAAGCAUUUGGAAAUUGCUCCCAAGGAUGAACCAGACUUGUGGAGGUCUACAAUUUCUUUUCUGAGGUAUUGGCUGAUUUCUUUUGGUUUUCCCAUGAUGUCAAGCAAAGAGGCACUGAGUUUGAAGAUAGGCCUCGAAAUACAUCCACAGUUGCACCUCCAAUUGACUCAAAUGAUGUCAAGUAGCCUAUCAGAACCUUCUAAAGCCAUGACAUCAUUUUCUGGGAUUUCCCAAGCUGUUUAAAGGCACAGUCAACUUAGUGUAUGUAAACUUCUGACCCACUGGAAUUGUGAUACAGUGAAUUAUAAGUGAAAUGAUCUGUCUGUAAACAAUUGUUGGAAAAAUUGUGGCUUGCAAAGUAGAUGUCCUAACCGACUCGCCAACACUAUAGUUAGUUAACAAGAAAUUUGUGGUUGAAAAACGAGUUUUAAUGACUCCAACCUAAGAGUAUGUAAACUUCUGACUUCAACUGUAUCUAUACAGUACGGAAGUGGUUCUCUGUGUUCUAAAAAGGUAUACUGUUUACCAUAAUAGGAACAGCCAAAGGAAGUUCAAUGCAAAAAAGCAAUAGGGAAGAAAGACAGAGAAAGAGAGCGUUGAUGAAUGAAAGGAAGGAUGAAGGAGAGAGACGUAUGUAUGUGUGUGAUUAGAGUGUGAGGAUCAAAGAAGGCUACGAGUCAUUUCCAGAGAGAGAGAGAGGGAUUUGUGUGUGAGAGGGUUUGUUAAUGUGUGUGUGUUUGUUCAUGUGUCUGUGGGUAUCGUUGCUGGGGGGGAAAGAGGGAUCCUGUAUUUUUUCAUAAUAAAGUUAUUACCACUGCUCCUACUGGGGAUGUAACCACUCA